rnacentral:rRNA from 1 species
GACGUGGAAGACAAGUGUUAUUCAUCUUUAAUAGGUUUAAAGGGUACUUAGACGGUUAAUAUAGCCUUAAAACAAGGGACACAUUAGCUAGAGUUUUAUAUGAGAGGGGGAGAAUUAUUAGAGGAGAGAUGAAAUUCUGUGAUCCUAAUAGGACUGGUAAAGGCGAAGGCAACCUUCUAUGUAAAAACUGACGUUGAAAGACGAAGGCUUUGGUAGCGAACAGG